UCCCCAAUAGCUCAGUCGGUAGAGCGCCGGACUGUUAAUCCGUAGGUCCCUGGUUCGAGCCCAGGUUGGGGAGCCA
rnacentral:tRNA from 2 species